AAAGGGGGGGUCAGAAAAAGAGAUGGGGAACACUCCACAGAGUGACUGCCUGCCAGCCUGCUUCCUCCACUGGGGUCCGUCCAAGCCACAGAGGUCCUCCUGUCCAUCAGCUGCAGCAUGGAGAGGUUGCCUCAGCAGAUUCUACAGUUUCCAUCAGGGCCAUGUGAGGGCACAGCACCAGCGCCGGCCGUUGUUAAUGCAG